rnacentral:lncRNA from 1 species
AAGACAUUCACUACACCAGAGGAGACAAAGGAAGCACGUUGCUGUUAUUGCUGUUCAUGGCCUUCUUCCAACAGUAAGGGAAGCUAGUUUGAAGAUAAACUGUACAAAGGAAAGUAAAACAAGAGAAGUGCAGCGAAAUGGUGCCGGAGCCGUGAUGCAGCUACAACCUAGAGUUCUCACAAUCUCUUAAUUUCCUGCUGUCGGCGAUAAAUGUGAUCAUUUUGGCCGAUUUGGUUCAGUUUUUCUGUUCCGUGAAGCUGAAAGCAUCCUGACACAGGGCACACAAUGCUGUUGAAGCCAUCAGAGUACCAGGAUGCUGAUCUCCACGGCAAGUGCCUGAGCAGAGGGAGCUCAGUGAAGAGGAACUGCUCCAGCACUACACAGGCAUUCUUGGUAGCUGGACAGUACUGGACCCAUCACAAUUUCAAUACUGGGAAGAGAAAAGCCAGUCCUCUGGGGAAAGAUGAAGCACUGGACCUACAAACUAACUACUUUCAACCCCUGGAUGAAUCUAGGAGCAGAUUAGUCCCGAUAUCAAGGCAAUGUCAAGAGUGAAGGGGAGGAUCAAGAUUUUUUUUGAGUGAUUGUUUCCUGGAAGGAGAAAAAAAAAUAACAAGAAAAUGACCAUGGAAAGUAACAACAACUGAAAACGGAUAAAAUGAAGAUGUGUGAAAGAGCACAAGAGUGCAAAACCAAAAGUAUACAAGGAGUGUUUAUGCAGUAACCACUUUAGAAUGCCUUUCCUCAUGUUUGAAGACUUCUAAACUAGGGCAAGGACAGAUCCCAGCAACUACUGGAAGCAUAAUAAAGGAGAAGAAUGAGGCAUUUUCUUCUCUCAUAUACAGAUUAUAUGUAAUUAGGAUGCUAAGGAUAAUUUUGUAACAUAAAAACGGAGAUGCUAAGGAGAAUGGUUUCACCCUAGUUUAUAGAAGGAGGGUAUACUAUGGUCUAUCAAAGACUGAAAAUUGUCCUCUGCUAAUAAAGUCUCAAAUCAGGGCAAUUGGAUUUCUUUCUUUUUUUUUUUUUAUUAUACUUUAAGUUUUAGGGUACAUGUGCACAAUGUGAAGGUUUGUUACAUAUGUAUACAUGUUCCAUGUUGGUGUGCUGCACCCAUUAACUCAUCAUUUACAUUAGGUAUAUCUCCUAAUGCUAUCCCUCCCCACUCUCCCAGCCCCACAACAGGUCCUGGUGUGUGAUGUUCUCCUUCCUGUGUCCAUGUGUUCAAUUCCCACCUAUGAGUUGAGUUAGAGUUACUAGUCUCAAAUAAAUGCUUGGUAAUGCCAUACAAUCUAAACAUGUUGUCACUGUCAACUCACUAUCUCAUAUUCUGCAAUGAUACCCUUCUAUAUUCUGAAAUUCCUUCCCCAUUCUCAGCAGAUAGCCUCAGAUCAUAUAUCAUACACACAAUUGAACAUAUCACAUAGAAAUUUCAUCAGCUCACUGCCUCCAAUCCAAUGAACCUAACAUCUACUAACAUCAACACCAUCCAGGAAACCAUGACCUCACCAGAUGAACUAAAUAAGGCACCAGGGAAAAAUACCAGUGAAACAGAGACAUGUGACCUUUCAGACAGAUAAUUCAAAAUAGCUGUGUUGAGGAAACUCAAAUUCAAGAUGAUACAGAGAAGGAAUUCAGAAUUAGAUAAAUUUAACAAAGAGAUUGAAAUAAUUAAGAAUCAAGCAGAAAUUCUGGAGCUGAAAAACGCAACUGGCGUAUUGAGAAAUGCACCAGAGUCUCUUAAUAGCAGAACUGAUCAAGCAGAAGAAUGAAUUAGUGAUGUUGAAGACAGACUAUUGGAAAUGCACAGUCAGAAGAGAAAAAAGAAAAAACAAUGAAGCACGCCUACAGGAUCUAAAAAAUAGCCCCCAAAGGGCAAAUCUAAGAGUUACUGGCCUUAAAGAGGGGGGGCUCAACACCCAAGUACAAAAAGGUUAGAGAACACCAAGUAGAUUUAAUCUAAAGAAGACUACCUUGAAUCGUUUAACAAUUAAACUCCCAAAGGUCAAGGAUAAAGAAAGGAUACUAAAAGAACCAAGAGAAAAGAAACAAGUAACAUACACUAGAGCUCCAGUACACCUGGUAGCAGACUUUUCAGUGGAAACCUUACACACCAGGAGAGUGACAUGGCAUAUUUAAAGUGCUAAAGGGUGGAAAAAAAGCCUUUUACCCUGGA